UCUCCGUUGGUGAACCAGCGGAGGGAUCAUUACCGAGUGCAAACUCAUAACCCUUUGUGAACCUAUAUCUGUUGCUUCGGCGGCUCGCUCUCGGGCGGGCCCGCCGGUAAUAUCAGUAUCUCUGUUUGAACCCGACGAUACUUCUGAGUGUUCUUAGCGAACAGUUAAAACUUUUAACAACGGAUCUCUUGGCUCUAGCAUCGAUGACGAACGCAGC
rnacentral:misc_RNA from 1 species